UACGUAGGGUGCGAGCGUUGUCCGGAAUUAUUGGGCGUAAAGGGCUCGUAGGCGGUUUGUCGCGUCGGGAGUGAAAACCAUGGGCUUAACUCAUGGCUUGCUUCCGAUACGGGCAGACUAGAGGUAUGCAGGGGAGAACGGAAUUCCCGGUGUAGCGGUGAAAUGCGCAGAUAUCGUAAGGAAGACCAGUGGCGAAGGCGAAUCUCUGGACAGUUACUGACACUGAGGCACGAAGGCCAGGGGAGCAAACGGG
rnacentral:rRNA from 1 species